GAAAAGCAUCUUAUUUCAGGCAAAAGGGCCUGUGAAUGAUUAACUCUGGUUCCAUGCAUUGGGACUUUGCAUAGCAACACUUUGGCUUACAUCGAGAAAAAGGCUCAAGGCAGCAACGGCAGCCCAGGGACCUGAGACCAACAUUCUCAAAUGAAGGCCCUAGGCUGUUCUCCAAACCCUCACAAUCUCUGGGUCAUCCCCAAGAAGAAACCAUUGAGGAAAAGCAUAUUAUGGGGGUACACAUUUUAAGGUUGCGCG